CGGUUUCCUGCCGGACCCCGACUGCUAUUUGGGUGAGGGAUAAGCCAUGCGCGUCGAAUGGGAAACCUUAAAUUUCCCAUGGCAGACUGCUCAGUAACACAUGAUCAACUUACCCUAUAGAGAAAAAUAACCUCGGGAAACUGAGGAUAAUUUUUCAUAGUUGAAAAGGCUUGGAAAAGUUUUUCAAUAAAAAGGAUAAAAAAAAUGGUUUUUAUCUGCUAUAGGAUAGGAUCGUGUUCGAUUAUGGUUGUUGGUGAGGUAACGGCUCACCAAGCCGAUAAUCGAUAGGGGCCGUGAGGGCGGGAGCCCCGAGAUGGGUACUGAGACAACGACCCAGGCCUUACGAGGCGCAGCAGGCGCGGAACCUCCGCAAUACACGAAAGUGUGACGGGGUUACCCAAAGUGUUCAAUUCUGAACUGUGGUAGGUGAGUAAUGUCCCCUACUAGAAAGGAGAGGGCAAGGCUGGUGCCAGCCGCCGCGGUAAAACCAGCUCUUCAAGUGGUCGGGAUAAUUAUUGGGCUUAAAGUGUCCGUAGCCGGUUUAGUAAGUUCCUGGUAAAAUCGGGUAGCUUAACUAUCCGUAUGCUAGGAAUACUACUAUACUAGAGGGCGGGAGAGGUCUGAGGUACUACAGGGGUAGGGGUGAAAUCUUAUAAUCCUUGUAGGACCACCAGUGGCGAAGGCGUCAGACUGGAACGCGCCUGACGGUGAGGGACGAAAGCCAGGGGAGCGAACCGGAUUAGAUACCCGGGUAGUCCUGGCCGUAAACGAUGCAUACUAGGUGAUGGCACGGCCAUGAGCCGUGUCAGUGCCGUAGGGAAACCGUUAAGUGUGCCGCCUGGGAAGUACGGUCGCAAGGCUAAAACUUAAAGGAAUUGGCGGGGGAGCAC
rnacentral:rRNA from 1 species